UACUGACUCGCAAGCCCAACCAAACCAAAAACAACAAAACACAAUAACUAAACCCAAAGACACAAAUUGUCUCCACGAACAAAUCAUUUUUCCCCUUUAGUAUGGGCGACAGAAAAAGAACAUGGAGCGAUAGAGAAAGUACCGCAAGGGAA
rnacentral:rRNA from 1 species